GCAAGGCUUGAAUGGCGUCGGGGUUGGAGGGUUGGAAGGUCGGGAAGUGAAGGACUCGCAGGCAUAUUUAACAACGCAAAGUUGCUAGGAGUUGGUACCAGCGUUUGGGAGGUAGAGGUGGCGCUCAUGCAUAUUUGAGACAACAUCUGGAUGGUUGGGGAGAACGGUGAUGCCACACUCAAUCAGAAACUAUGCUACUGCUGAAGAGGUAUAUUGAGCCCUGCCUGGUUAACCUCCAGUGAGGUUAUUAGAGAAUUGGGAGAGGCUCAAAUCAGCAUCCUGCACCUAGUUAUCAAACCAUUGUGAAGUCUUGAUUCCUGGAUGGCCAGAAAACUUGUCAUUGGUCAAGAGCAACAUUAAGAUCUGCCUGUUACUCAUACUGAUGCUUCCUGCCCAGCAAGUUCAUCAGAGGGCGAGGAUGAAUUACGGUUGCCAUGAAUGUCCUUGUGAGGCAGUUGGGAAGCCUUGGCUGGAUUGUGAAGGAUAUUUGAAAAGUAUUUUAGAGUCCACCAGAUCAUCCAUGUGAGUGACCAUGCAGCAAAAGAAGGAGGGUCCUCUCAGUGAUUAAGGAUUAUGAAGUAUUAAUUCUUCCACUGAUAUCUCAAAAGGUGAUCUGGACAAAGGAACAGGUAUCUCAGAACAGUGGUUGGUAGGAUGGCGGAGACAUGGACUUCAGAGAGUUCUUGGUAGAAGACUCAAAGAGCCACCUGUCAUGAGACAUCCCACUUCCUUCCCCAGGUUACUUCCAAGACUGAGCAGCCAGGUUUUUGGUAGAUGAGAACAAAUGUUUCUUCCUGAAGCCCUGGGGCUUCAGGUAGGAAGAAGGACUGCUAUACUUGUUCUCACCCUUGGCUUCUGGCUGCUCCAGUUAAACAUGGUUCCCAUUGAUACAGACAUUAGAGUGGGAAAGGACUUCGUUCAUAGACCGAAGACCCUCAAAGGAAAGUCCUUCCAUUUUGGGAAGGGUGACAUUGAUUUCGUUUAGCUGCUUAAGAUAUGUACUUGCUGUUGUCUUGUGAGACAUGACAUCUGAAGCUGAAGAGGAGUCCCUCUCAUUGUUGUCAUUGUCCCACCGGGACUGAAAGUCUCCCAGUUGAGGCAGCAUUUUAGCUUUGAUGUCUACAGGGCAAUCAUGGAUCAGGAAAUUUCUGCAAAUUAGACUUGGAAAACAAGGUCUUGAUCCUUCUUGUCUUUGGACGAAGACUAAUCAUCACUUUUGACUGAAGGUGUAGUGCUGGAGACUAUGUUGGAGGCAGCACCUGAUGCACUAUCCAUAUUCUUCCCCUUGAUCUUGUCUUAAAGUUUUCCAAAUGGAUUCCGAGGCUUGUCUUUGAUGAAAAGGUCAAACAUACUGGCAGUCAUGUUGUUUCUCAUAAGCUGGAUGUCAACCUCAAUUUCUCCUCUUUAUCCUUCUCUCCUGGUUUGGAUUUCAAGGUAUACCACCGCAUCUUCCUGCUCCCCUAGUCUGGGUGCAGGUCCUGCAGGUACACCUCGGCGAAGCCCAAGUACAGUAGCAGCAGCACCUCAAAGGUGGCCUCCUCCUCUGACACUGAGGUGGCAUACUUCUCCUUACCCACCUGAAUCACCGAGUACAUGUUGCUUGUACCGUCAGGCUCUUGGUUCUUGGCCCCUGGCCCUAUGCCUGCAACACUGUCACCUGCACGUGGAUUGGGAACCACAUAGCCCCCGGACCUGCUAAGGCCAUUAAGGACAGGAUGGUGAUGCCUCGGCUGACUGACGUGAGAAGAUUGUCAUGACCCAUGGCCUCUACUGCUGUCCUACCAACAGAAACUUCAUAAUGUUGUGCAGGCGUUACCACUACCUAGUUCCAGAACAUUGCCAUCACCCCCAAAAUAAAUCUUGCAUUCAUUAAGCAGUCACCCCUAUUUUCCCCCAUCCCUGUCAACCACUGAUUUAUGUUCUGUCUCUAUGGAUUCCCCUGUUCCGGAUAAUUCACGUAAAUGGAAUAACACAAUAGAUGCCUUUUAUCAUGGGUUUCUUUCACUUAGGAUGUUUUGUAGGGUAAUCCAUAUAGCAUGUAUCAGGACUUCAUUUUUUUUUUUUUUUUUUUUGAGAUGGAGUUUCAUUCUUCUUGCCCAGGCUGGAGUGCAGUGGUGCAGUCUCAGCUCACUUCAACCUCUGCCUUCUAGGUUCAAGCGAUUCUCCUGUCUUGGCUUCCCAAGUAGCCAGGAUUACAGGCGCCUGGCACCAUGCCCAGCUACUUUUUUUGUAUUUUUAGUAGAGACAGGGUUUCACCAUGUUGGCCAGGCUGGUCUCAAACUCCUGACCUCAGGUGAUCCGCCUGCCUCAGCCUCCCAACGUGCUGGGAUUACAGGCGUGAGCCACCAUGGUCAGCCUUCAUUCAUUUUCAUGGAGAAAAAUAUUUCAUUGUAUGAGUAUACCACAUUUUGUUUAUCCAUUUAUCCAUUGAUUGGUUGUUUCUACUUUUUUUUAGCUAUUAUGAAUAAUAUUGCUGUGAACAUUUGUGUACAAGGUUUUAGUGGACACAAGUUUUUAUUUUUCUUGGGUAUAUAUCUAGGAGUGGAAUUGCUGGGUCAUAUUGUAAUUCUGUUCAACUUUUUGAAGAACUUCCCAACUGUUCUCCAUGGUGGCUGUGCCAUUGUAUAUUCCUACCAGCAGUGUAUGAAGUUACAAAUUUCUCCACAUCCUGAGAACCCCUUUAUUAUUUUCUGUUUUUCUUUUUGAUUAUAGCCAUCCUAGUAGGUGUAAAGUGGUAUCUCAUUGUGAUUUUAUUUUGCAUUUCCCUAAAUGAUUAAUGAUAUUGAGCAUCUUUUCAUGUGCUUCUUGGCCACUAGUAUAUCUUCUUUGAAGAAAUGUCUAUUCAAGUCUUUGGCAGUUUCUAAAUGAGUUAUUGUCUUUUUGUUGUUAGGUUGUAAGAGUUAUAAUCUGGAUAACAGAUCCUUAUUAGAUAUGUAAUUUGCACAUAUUUUCUCCCAUUUUGUGGGUUGUCUUUUGUCUUUUUUAUUUUUUAUUGCUUGUGUUUUGGUAUCAUUAUUGAUAAUUCAUUGUUAAAUUAAAGGUCAUGAAGAGUUA
rnacentral:lncRNA from 1 species